UACGAAGGGUGCAAGCGUUACUCGGAAUUACUGGGCGUAAAGAGUGCGUAGGCGGUUUCUCAAGUCCGCUGUGAAAUCCCCGGGCUCAACCUGGGAAUGGCAGUGGAAACUAGGAGACUUGAAUCUGGCAGAGGGGGGUGGAAUUCCACGUGUAGCAGUGAAAUGCGUAGAGAUGUGGAGGAACACCGAUGGCGAAGGCGGCAUCCUGGACCGGGCGAUUGACCGCCUGUAGGAGCGAAAGCCAG
rnacentral:rRNA from 1 species